rnacentral:misc_RNA from 1 species
UAGACUCAUCCUCUCGGGUUUCCGAGUUGGGUGUUUUGGACGUCUGCCAUGCUUUGGCUCGUCUUAAAUGUCUAAGUGGAAUGCGUAAUAAGUUUUCGCUCCCUCCACUCUAAUACACUUUUAU